rnacentral:rRNA from 1 species
ACAAUAACAAAUAAAGCACAUACUGGGCCUUGCCCACUGCAUCAGACCGAAGUCUGGAACUAGCUGCAUCGGACCGAAGUCCGGAACUGACUGCAUCGGACCGAAGUCCGGAACUGACUGGGACCUUGUCCCCUGCAUCGGACCGGAGUCCGGAACUAGCUGCAUCGGACCGAAAUUCAGAACUGUCUGAACAUAGCAUUACAUAAACACGUAUCUGCUAACAUAACACAUAUACUACAUCGAACUGAUGUCCGGAACACAUAACACAAAACAUGCUUGAAUCACAAAGACAUCAAGCACUCUAAAUACUACAUUGGACUGAAGUCCGGAACUACUGCUAACUAAACGGGCCGGCACUGUGGCCGUAGACCCGUUCCUACUGGAAGGAAACUCACCUCGUGAACUGGCUGCUGAUUGUAUGGCUCUGGAAGCUAUCUGUUGCUGCUCCGGUAUCUCCCCGGCUACAAUUCCAUAAACACACUCAAUCAAAUACUAAUAACUAAAUUGGGGUAAAUGACUCUUUUACCCCUGGUCAAAGUCAACUCUCCCGGUCAAAGUCAACCUACAGUUGACCUGACUCGCCGAGUUGGGCCGCCAACUCGCCGAGUCUCUAUUCUCACUUCUCAACCCUACUCGCAGCUACUCGUCGAGUAUGGCAUCAACUCGACGAGUUCCCUUUCGAUUCUAGAACUCAGGCUAUCUGCAUCCGACUCGCCGAGUCGUAUGAACAACUCGACGAGUUGUUCUUGAACUAAGAAGAUUGCCUUGGACUCGCCGAGUUGUAUGAACAACUCGUCGAGUCCCUCCAUUACUGAGUCUGACUCCAACUCACUGAGUCCACUCUACUACUAACUGGUCCCCACUCGGCAUCACUCAAAAGGGGAAAAAUCGGGGACUCGCGACUCAACUCGCCGAGUCGUUCUUCCGACUCGCCGAGUCGCAUGCAUGCAGCUACUCUAAACUCGAUUCUGCUUGAAUCUAGCGCAUAAAACUUAUAGAUCUGGGCUCCCUAAGCUCGAUUAACACGUAAAGGUUCUAUCUUUACGUGCCCAUAUGCACCCAUGAAGAUUAAGAGGCUCAAAAAGCAUAAUAAAGGCUAGAUCUAGGGUUCUCAAGCAAAGAAACUUCGAAAAGGCACUAGAUCAGGGCUCUAACACUCCUAAAUGAACAUAUCUAGGGAUAUCUCGACCCAACAAGGCAUCCAUACAACUAUAAAGCUUGGAAAAUACAUUAAACUAGCCUUAGAGGUGUUUUAAUGGAGGUUUUAAGCACAAAACAUGAUAAUUCCGAGACAUACCUCAAUGAACUCUGACUUUGGCCUUGGAUCUUUGCUCUACACUUCCUCUUUUUGGUCCUUUCUUCUUUUUCUUCUUCAAUCCUUCAAGAAUCCACACAAAAACACUUUAAUCAUACAAGGAAUGGUUUAGGGUUUCUCACAAGCUCUCUGAGGGUGAAGGAGGCGAGUUUGGGGCACAUAACAUUGCUUAAAUAGUGAGCAAACCCGGGGAUUUAGGGUUUCUUCCUGUAGGCGGACUCGCCGAGUCCCGAAUAUGGACUCGCCGAGUUGCCGACUUACACGUGCUCGAAAUCCCGUCUCUACUUGACGAGUCGGGCUAUAGACUCGCCGAGUCCCUCUUGAAAACUUCUAAAUAAAUAACAUGGAAACAACAUACCAGAGACGGGUCGUUACAGACAAUCUUAUGUAGGCCUCCCAAAAGGUAAAGGAGGCAUGCAAAGGUUUCCUCGGGCCGGACGGAGAUUGGCCCUCGAGUGCAAAAGCAGAAGGUAGCUUGACUGCAAGACCCACCCAUUGAGCAGGGACGGAAUUCGUCCUUAGUGAUCCGAUGGUGCCGAGUGGAAGGGUCGUCACUCAACGGAUAAAAGUUACUCUAGGGAUAAUAGGCUGAUCUUCCCCAAGAGCUCACAUCAACGGGAAGGUUUGGCACCUCGAUGUCGACUCUUCGCCACCUGGGGCUAUAGUAUGUUCCAAGGGUUGGGCUGUUCGCCCAUUAAAGCGGUACAUGAGCUGGGUUCAAAACGUCGUGAGACAAUUCGGUCCAUAUCCGAUGUGGGCGUUAGAUCAUUGAGAGGACCUUUCCUUAGUACUAGAGGACCGGGAAGGACGCACCUCUUGUGUACCAAUUAUCGUGCCCACGGUAAACGCUGGGUAACCAAGUGCGGAGUGGAUAACGGCUGAAAGCAUCUAAGUAGUAAUCCUACCCCAAGAUGAGUGCUCUCAUAUUCCGACUUCCCCUGAGCUUCCGGUAGCACAGCCGAGACAACGACGGGUUCUCUGCCCCCGCGGGGAUGGAGCGACAGAAGUUUUGAGAAUUCAAGAAAAGGUCACAGCGAGACGAGCCGUUUAUCAUUACGAUAGGUGUCAAGUGGAAGUGCAGUGAUGUAUGCAGCUGAGGCAUCCUAACAGACCGGUAGACUUGAAC